CCUACGGGUGGCUGCAGUGGGGAAUCUUGCACAAUGGAGGAAACUCUGAUGCAGCGACGCCGCGUGAGCGAUGAAGCCCUUCGGGGUGUAAAGCUCUUUCGACAGGAACGAUAAUGACAGUACCGGGAGAAUAAGCCCCGGCUAACUCCGUGCCAGCAGCCGCGGUAAUACGGAGGGGGCUAGCGUUGUUCGGAAUUACUGGGCGUAAAGCGCACGUAGGCGGCUUUGUAAGUUAGAGGUGAAAGCCCGGGGCUCAACUCCGGAAUUGCCUUUAAGACUGCAUCGCUAGAAUUGUGGAGAGGUAAGUGGAAUUCCGAGUGUAGAGGUGAAAUUCGUAGAUAUUCGGAAGAACACCAGUGGCGAAGGCGACUUACUGGACACAUAUUGACGCUGAGGUGCGAAAGCGUGGGGAGCAAACGGGAUUAGAUACCCUUGUAGUC
rnacentral:rRNA from 1 species